CUCAGUAACACGUGGAUAACCUACCCUUAGGACCGGAAUAACCCCGGGAAACUGGGGAUAAUACCGGAUAAGCCAUAGGCGCUGGAAUGCCCUAUGGUUCAAAGCUCCGGCGCCUAAGGAUGGAUCUGCGGUCUAUCAGGUUGUAGUGGGUGUAACGUACCUACUAGCCGACGACGGAUACGGGUUGUGAGAGCAAGAGCCCGGAGAUGGAUUCUGAGACACGAAUCCAGGCCCUACGGGGUGCAGCAGGCGCGAACACUUUACAAUGCGGGAAACCGCGAUAAGGGAACCCCGAGUGCCAGCAUCAAAUGUUGGCUGUCCAGAUGAUUAAAAAUCAUUUGUUAGCAAGGGCCGGGCAAGACCGGUGCCAGCCGCCGCGGUAACACCGGCGGCCCGAGUGGUAGCCGUUUUUAUUGGGUCUAAAGGGUCCGUAGCCGGCCUGAUAAGUCCUUUGGGAAAUCUGGCAGCUUAACUGUCAGGCUUCUAAGGGAUACUGUCAGGCUUGGGACCGGAAGAGGUAAGGGGUACUCCAGGGGUAGGAGUGAAAUCUUGUAAUCCCUGGGGGACCAUCUGUGGCGAAGGCGCCUUACCAGAACGGGUCCGACGGUGAGGGACGAAAGCUAGGGGAGCAAACCGGAUUAGAUACCCGGGUAGUCCUAGCUGUAAACGAUGCUCGCUAGGUGUCAGACACGGUGCGACCGUGUUUGGUGCCGCAGGGAAGCCGUUAAGCGUCCACCUGGGAAGUACGGUCGCAAGGCUGAAACUAAAG
rnacentral:rRNA from 1 species